AAAUACUUUAUUACAUUGACUCUAGUUUCCUUAACAGAUGAAUAUCAAAUGAGCAACCUGGUUUAGUCACUGAAAAAAAUGAAACAUUUCUGAAACCUCACAAAAUGGUUCAGUGUGCAAACUAGAACUAGUCAAGCAUCCAUCUCUUUACAGAACGGCACAGUCUCUGCAAGCAGCGGGGUGCAUCGUAAGAGCUUUCUCUGCAGCCCUGAAGCCUCUCAGCUGCAGAGAUGAGGGUAGAUUUCACAGGAAACUCCAAUGCAACUUCAAGGUCAAACGUUCUCCCAGGGAGCUGCGGGGAGGAUAGUGGGAAGUGACAGCUCAAACCUGCUUCAAAACCUAGACAACCGAAGUCUUACAGGGAAAUUCACAUUUUCUUUACUUCCAGGAAGUUACCACACACUUAAGAAACUGUGACUUCUACACCGAUUCCCAAUCUAGUCAAUUAUUUGUAGUCUUAUCAGAAAACUUGUACUAAGUAGUUGUUUUGUCUAUGGUUUCUUAAAAUAUAAUUUAGUUUAAUGGUUUAAAAAUGAGAGUGACAUUUGUAUACAUAGUCACAGUUUAGGAGAAAGGUAGGUGACUUGAAUUUCUGAAUUUGGAAUGAAGAAAGUUGUUAAAUGGCUUUAUUUAAAAAACAAAAAAAGGCACAAAGGUAUAAAUGAUACCCUUGUUAACAACAAGCAUGAAAGUGAUAUAGAGAUACCAGUGUUUUAAGACCAAUGCCAAUAGACUGAUUUUUUAACAAAAUCAUUUCAGUUCAUUAAAUUAUAUUUCACAGCCGCUAUGAUGUGUCUAGCACUGAUCCCAAACACAUCCAGCAAUUCACUAGGUUUUCCACUUUGAGGCAUUCCAGACACUGCCAGCUGAUGUAUGUGGAUGUCCGGCUCCCCAGAGACGGCUGCACACACAGCUUCUCCAAGACCACCUUCCUGGUAGUGAUCCUCCACUGUGAUUAUCCGGCCACCUGUGGCUUUUGCGCUGGAGAUAAUGGUGGCAGUGUCCAGGGGUUUAAUGGUAAACGGGUCAAUGAUUCGGACAGAAAUACCUUGUUGGAAAAGGGCAUCUGCAGCUGCUAAGGCUUCAUGCAGGGUAAUGCCAGCUCUAAUAACUGUGACUUUGUCAUUAACACUGCUUCGGAUAACCUUGGCCUGUCCAAUCUCGAAAUUUUCUUGUGGGGUGUAAAUAACUGCAGUUUCUGGUCCUCUGGUGCGAAUGAAGCACAUUCCUUUGGAACUGGCAGCCAGGUAGACAGCAUGCUCCGUGGAGACGGCAUCACGUGGGUAGAAAACCGUGCAAUUGGGAACGCUUCGGAACAUAGCUAGAUCUUCCAGGGUCAGCUUGGGGGGUCCAAAUUCACCCACUGACACCCCACAGUGGGAAGCAAUAAGAUUGAUAUUGGUUUGAGAUAUGGCUCCCAUCCGGAUCUGAUCAAAGGCUCUUGUGAGAAAGGCAGCUAAGGUACUAACAAAAGCAAUAGUUCGACCCCGGGCAGCAAAGCCAGUGCCACACUGACCAUGUUCUGUUCUGCAGUGAAAUGCUCAGGGUGUUCCUUCUUGAAUAUCUCAGAAAAGGUGGAGUUCUUUGGAUCACCAUCCAGGACAACAACUCUUUCGUUUGCACGGCCCAGUUUAAUUAGAGCCAAACUAUAAGCUUGCUGAGUAGCUAUCUUGUUGCCAACUUUAUAACCAGGCGGACAGGUCAUUUUUAUAUUCGUGAUGAUGCUGAUCUGAGUGGAGCCUUCAGCAGGUGGGUUGGGUAUCGGAUUCUUGUUAGUCUGUAUCUGACUCUCAAUUAGUCUGAUGACCUCAUCUGCUCUUUCUGUAGGCAUUGGCUUUCCAUGCCAAUUUUCUGCAUCCUCAACGUCUGGAAUCCCCCGGCCCUUGAACGUCUUCGCAAUUAUGGCAGUGGGCUUUGUCUUCACUUGAGCUGCCUGGCAAAACGCAAGGCACAAGGCCUCCAAGUCGUGGCCGUCCACUAGGUAAGUAUUCCACCCAAAGUCUUCACAGCGACUCUGAUAGGUAUCCAUGCAGUGCGCAAGGGGCGCCAUGCCACUCUGCCCCAAGCGGUUCACGUCAAAGACUGCCACCAGAUUGCCCAAAUUGUAGUGGGAUGCAAAGGCCAGAGCUUCCCAGACAGAGCCUUCUGAGGACUCGCCAUCGCCCAAGAGGCAGAACACCCAGUAGCUGGCCCUGUCCAAGUACUUGCCAGUAAAAGCCAUUCCGCACGCGGCCCCCAGUCCUUGGCCCAGCGACCCGGUUGCCACAUCCACGAAUGACAGUCUGGGGGUGGGAUGUCCCUCUAAGUCGCAGUUAAUGGUCCGCAGAUUCAGCAGGUCAGGCUCACUAAUGCCUCCCGCCUCUACCCAGGCGGCGUAGAGGAGUGGGGCCGCAUGGCCCUUGGAGAGGAUGAACCUGUCGUUGUCCGGGUGUCUUGGCUCCAUCUGUCUGUACUUCAUGGUGUGAAAAUAUAGCACCGACAUGAUCUCAGCAGCACUGCAGCACUAAGUGGGGUGGCCAGAGCCAGAGGCACAUGUGGCUCUGAUGCAAUGGAUGUGCAGGCGGUUGGCCACGUCCUGCAGCACCUGUGCAGUGGCUGUGUCCAGCACGGCAUCAGAGGCCAUGGCAGAGGCCCCUCAGUUCCCUGCUGAGCCAACAACUCCAGCCCCGGCAGUUUUGUCACGUGACAGUGACGCCCUGGCUCCGCCUCCACCGGAAACAGCUCUGAGGUUCCCUCACAGGAUAGUGCACACUGGCCCCGCCUCCCAGGAAACAAGCUGGGUGGUGCUGUUGCAGCUUGGCCAACCUCCCCAAAAACAGUGCUGCAGCUUCAUCACUGUGGAGGAACACCCUGGCCCUGCCUCCCUAAGGUAGCUUCUGACUUUGGUAUUUGCCCUGCUCCACGGUCUCCUUCUGAUGAAUGGGUUUUUAAUACUUAUCUUGUCACCCACAUGUUCAACAUUAUUGAAAAUAAUUAAAUGUUUCUAUACCUUUGCUCACGCUGUAAGCAUUCUUCUUUCCAUGUAUUAUAGGAAAUUUAGUUGCGGCCAUGCUUCUUUUUCAUGCCUUGACCCAAUCUCUGAGACAUCUUCACUGUUCUACAGCAGUGCUUUCAUGCAAAUGAUCCAAAGUCUCUUUUGGUCCAACCUGCCUCGCCACAUCCUAGCUGCGGCCGAGCGACCCAGGGGCUGCGGCCUCACCCGGUCUCCGCGGCCUCGCCCCGGCGCACAGCGGGCAGCCUCUCAGUGAACACCCCGUCCAGGGAUCCCUUCCCGGUACCGUUAUUCACGGUAAAAGCCACACGGCCUGAGCCGGACACUGAAGGGCUGGGCGGGGAGGAGCCCUGGACUGCUGAGCGACUUCUGCGGGACAAAAAGAGGGGCCAGAGCGCGUCAGCCCCGCUGGCCCACCACGUGCAUCUC
rnacentral:lncRNA from 1 species